rnacentral:rRNA from 1 species
GACGAACGCUGGCGGCGUGCCUAAUACAUGCAAGUCGAACGCAGUGGGGACGGGUGAGUAACACGUGGGUAACCUCCAAUCAGAGGGGAUAACACGUGGAAAAAGGUGAUAAACAGAUACAGAUGGAUGGACCCGCGGUGAAUUAGAUAGGUGGUGGGGUAACGGCUCACCAAGGCCACGAGUCAUAGCCGACCUGAGAGGGUGAUCGGCCACACGAGGACUGAGACACGCGCCAAACUCCUACGAGAGGCAGCAGUAGGGAAUCUUCGGCAAUGGACGAAAGUCUGACCGAGCAACGCCGCGUGAGUGAAGAAGGUUUUCGGAUCGUAAAACUCUGUUGUUAGAUAAGCGGUAUCUAACCAGAAAGCCACGGCUAACUACGUGCCAGCCGCCGCGGUAAUAC